rnacentral:rRNA from 1 species
AUUGAACGCUGGCGGCAUGCCUUACACAUGCAAGUCGAACGGUAACAGGUCAAGCUGACGAGUGGCGAACGGGUGAGUAAUAUAUCGGAACGUGCCCAGUCGUGGGGGAUAACGUAGCGAAAGCUGCGCUAAUACCGCAUACGAUCUCUGGAUGAAAGCGGGGGACUCGCAAGAGCCUCGCGCGAUUGGAGCGGCCGAUAUCAGAUUAGGUAGUUGGUGGGGUAAAAGCCCACCAAGCCGACGAUCUGUAGCUGGUCUGAGAGGACGACCAGCCACACUGGGACUGAGACACGGCCCAGACUCCUACGGGAGGCAGCAGUGAGGAAUAUUGGUCAAUGGGCGGAAGCCUGAACCAGCUAAGUAGCGUGCAGGAUGACGGCCCUAUGGGUUGUAAACUGCUUUUAUACAGGAAUAAAGUUAGCCACGUGUGGUUAUUUGUAGGUACUGUAUGAAUAAGGACCGGCUAAUUCCGUGCCAGCAGCCGCAGUAA